rnacentral:rRNA from 1 species
GCGGCCAGCAGAUCUGUUCCGAUCCGACCCCCGAGGGCAGUUUUUGAAGUGCAGAGGUGGUUCACGUACAACCGCCGCUAACCGCGCGCGCGCGCUGCCCGGAGCGACGACGCGCGGCGCGGGCCGGCCGAGGAGAGCGCGCCGGAUUCGUGCGGUGGCCUGACCUAGGGUUUCGCCGCGAGAUGGACGGCCGGGCUCAGCCGCAGCAGCAGCAGACGCCGCUGCCGCUGCCGCUGCCGCCGCCGCCGCAGCAGACGACGCCACCGCCGACGCCGCAGACGCAGACGCCGCGCGUGAGCUCGCCGCCGCCGGUGGCCCCCGGCGUCAUGAUGCCGCAGCACGCCUACGGCGCGAUGCCGCCGGGCUCCGCGAGCGUCAUGCACGGGAUGCCGCUCGCCUUCAACCCCAUGGCGUCGCCCGGGGCCUCGCAGGCGGCAUUGAAGCCCGCGGACAUGCCGCCGCUCGCCAUGUACCGGCCCGAUUCCACCCCGCCGGGCAUGCCGCAGUCCGUCGGCGGCGGCGGUGGCGCCCUGGUGGUCAGCGUCAGCGGCAGCGGCAGCGGCGGGGAGCUCGUGAAGAAGAAGAGGGGAAGGCCGAGGAAGUACGGGCCGGACGGGACCAUGGGCUCGGCGGUGAAGGCCGAGGCGGGCGGGCAGUCUGGUGGCGCGGGCUCCAACUCGAAUCCUGACGGGAAGCGCAGAGGACGGCCCCCGGGAUCUGGCAAAAAGAAACAGCUCGAUGCCUUAGGUUCAGCUGGGACAUCAUUUACUCCUCACAUAAUAACUGUCAAGCCUAAUGAGGAUGUUGCUUCGAAAAUAAUGUCUUUUUCACAACAAGGCCCACGUACUACAUGUAUAAUCUCAGCAAACGGUGCGCUGUGCACAGCAACACUCCGUCAACCAGCAACCUCUGGUGGCAUAGUGACAUAUGAGGGCCACUUUGAUAUUCUCUCUCUGUCGGGCUCAUUUCUGCUGGCAGAGGAUGGUGACACUCGUAGCAGGACAGGUGGUCUGAGUGUUGCUCUGGCUGGAAGCGAUGGGCGUAUCGUAGGAGGUUGUGUUGCAGGAAUGCUUAUGGCUGCAACGCCUGUCCAGGUUGUGGUGGGCAGCUUCAUCGCCGAAGGUAACAAAAAGCCCAAGGAAGAACAACCGAAACGCGAGCCAACAUCUGCGCCGAUGCUUACAUCUGCGCCGAUGCAGACGCCUGCUGGCUUCGGUGCAGCCUCAGCUGCUGCUACGCCAUCAGAUGGAACAUCAAGUGACCAUUCUGAUGACCCAGGGAGCCCUAUGGGACCCAACGGUAGCACGUUCAACAAUGCAGGCCAUCCGACACACGCUUCAUAUGCUCCGGUGGGCUGGUCCCUCUCCGGGAACCAAGGCCGCUACGACCCAGACAUGAAGAUGGUGACCGACUAAUGGCUCCCCGAUUUGCAGCAGCUUUAUUCUCUAGUAUUUGACCUAGUAGAGUGUAGGGUUUCCUGCACCGGCGCCAACAAUUCAUUGUCGGCCAAUAAUCCGGUGUGCUAGAGGUAGUCGGAGAGCCUUUCAUGGAAGGCCUGAGGAGCAAAAAUAAGUAGCAUUGUCUUGCCCUGUUAAUGUUGCUUUUAGUUUGUAUCUCUUAUCUGCUUUCGCAGUUAGUAGCUUAUGCUUGGAGUUGUUAUAUCCUAAUCAACGGUUUCUAUUACCCAUGAAUUUGUAUUUCAGUCUAGUAUCUGCAUGCACCAGUUUUGAAUGCCA